rnacentral:rRNA from 1 species
GACGAACGCUGGCGGCGUGCCUAAUACAUGCAAGUCGAACGCACUCUCGUUUAGAUUGAAGGAGUUUGCUCCUGAUUGAUAAACAUUUGAGUGAGUGGCGGACGGGUGAGUAACACGUGGGUAACCUGCCCUAAAGUGGGGGAUAACAUUUGGAAACAGAUGCUAAUACCGCAUAAAACCUAACACCGCAUGGUGUAGGGUUGAAAGAUGGUUUCGUCUAUCACUUUAGGAUGGACCCGCGGUGCAUUAGUUAGUUGGUGAGGUAAAGGCUCACCAAGACCGUGAUGCAUAGCCGACCUGAGAGGGUAAUCGGCCACACUGGGACUGAGACACGGCCCAGACUCCUACGGGAGGCAGCAGUAGGGAAUCUUCCACAAUGGACGAAAGUCUGAUGGAGCAACGCCGCGUGAGUGAAGAAGGUUUUCGGAUCGUAAAACUCUGUUGUUGGAGAAGAAUGUAUCUGAUAGUAACUGAUCAGGUAGUGACGGUAUCCAACCAGAAAGCCACGGCUAACUACGUG